AGCAAACAAAGAAGCAAAAGUAGUAAAAUGAGACACCAUUGUGGACCGGAAAUAGAGUGAAGAACUAACUCCAAAAAUCAUCAAGGAAACUGCAUCAAAUUGAAGCAAGAUAGAGAAAACGGGACCUGGGUUUUAGAGAAAGAGAGCUCAGAAAGCCGAGGAGUCCAAGGAAGCAGAGAGAAGAAAAUCUCCUAGAAGCAUUUGGACGGUGAGCCCAGGGUCUCUCAGUCUGAGUCUAAUAGGGGUACCGUCUCUGUCACACACACACACACACACACACACUUCUCUCUCUCUCGCUUGGUGACCAACAAAAAUCUACUGAGAAUAGUUCCUUUUUCGGGGCUCGGACGAAAUGACGGAGUUACCCUUGUUGUAGGAACAAAAGGGCACGACGGUCUUGGCGUGUGCACUGUGUAGGCUCUUUCUCGCGGAGAAGGUGGAACCGACGGCGGCGAGGCGCUAAGCCCUGUGCUUAACGGAUGACCACGCCGCCGACGCUAGAAUUCACCUCCUGCUACGACAGCGCCGGAGGCCCUUCGGCAGAUCGGGUAUCAAGACCGGUGGAUGCAACAGCUUAUCGUACACCCUCAACGGCGCUGGGGAUAAUUGCUAAUUCGGUUUUGAUAUAUCCAAUGGGAUCUGAUUGAACAUCCUACAUCCUGUGUUCCCGAUUGGCUUCUGCGAAAAUAAACGACCUCCAUUUUUUUUCUCUCUUUCAGUGUUAAUUGUACUUUGUUCCUUCGAAAACUCACUGCCUCUUUGAGUAGCCAUAUGGAUUAUGACGUACUAUAUUGGCUUA